UCUUUGCACAUUGUAAGAGUUAAUAUUUUCUCUUCUUUCAUUUUAAAGGUCAUUGCUGAUAAUUUAAUUGUUUGGUGAGAAGAAGAACUGAUCCAAAUAAUGAUACUAAAACUUAAACUUAAAUUUAUGAACCACAAAGUGGUUAGAACAAAAUUGACUUUUAACUAAAAGUUGUUGGUGUAAUGGGAAAGGAAUUUCUACAAGUAAAAUUACUUCUUUACAAAACAGACAAACCAGCUGUUGGAUUGAUAUUAGACUGCUAAGAGAUUACUUCCAUUUUGUCUAGGUAAAAUUUUGAUGAAGCCCUUCUUCUUCACCUCUGCCUCUUGUGCUCCCUGGCUUUUUUCAAGAUUCAGCCCAAGUGCCACUUUUUGCAAGAAGCAUUUCCUGGGCUCCUUCACCUGCCAGAACCUUAUCAUCAUCUGGUAUAAGCUUUUUAUGUAACUUGUAUAUAACUAGCUGUUUCCCCUAAUAAGAUAUAAGCUCUUUGAUGGAAUUAACUUUCUUUUUUGUCACUGAUUAAAGGCCAAAUGGCUAAGGA